CCUACGGGUGGCAGCAGUGAGGAAUAUUGGUCAAUGGGCGCGAGCCUGAACCAGCCAAGUAGCGUGAAGGAUGACUGCCCUACGGGUUGUAAACUUCUUUUAUAAAGGAAUAAAGUGAGGCACGUGUGCCUUUUUGUAUGUACUUUAUGAAUAAGGAUCGGCUAACUCCGUGCCAGCAGCCGCGGUAAUACGGAGGAUCCGAGCGUUAUCCGGAUUUAUUGGGUUUAAAGGGAGCGUAGAUGGGUUGUUAAGUCAGUUGUGAAAGUUUGCGGCUCAACCGUAAAAUUGCAAUUGAUACUGGCAGCCUUGAUUACAGUUGAGGUAGGCGGAAUCCGUGGGUGAGCGGUGAAAUGCUUAGAUAUCACGAAGAACUCGGAUGGCGAAGGCAGCUUACUAAACUGCCACUGACAUUGAUGCUCGAAAGUGUGGGUAUCAAACAGGAUUAGAUACCCUGGUAGUC
rnacentral:rRNA from 1 species